rnacentral:tRNA from 1 species
UGGGAAGUGGCGCAGUGGUAGCGCAGUAGACUGUUAAUCUAUUGGUCGUGGGUUCGAUCCCCUCCUUCCCAGCCA